rnacentral:tRNA from 1 species
AUUUAUUUAAUAUAAAAAGUAUAUUUGACUUCCAAUCAAAAAGUCCCAAAGGAAUAAAUA